rnacentral:rRNA from 1 species
UCGAACGAGAAGCUUGGUUCGCCAAGUGGAAAGUGGCAGACGGUUGAGUAACGCGUGGGAAUCUACCUAGAGGUUCGGAAUAACUAUUGGAAACGAUAGCUAAUACCGGAUAAGCCCUUCGGGGGAAAGAUUUAUUGCCUUUAGAUGAGCCCGCGUCGGAUUAGCUUGUUGGUAAGGUAACGGCUUACCAAAGCAACGAUCCGUAGCUGAUCUGGGAGGAUGAUCAGCCAGAUUGGGACUGAGACACGGCCCAGACUCCUACGGGAGGCAGCAGUAGGGAAUAUUGCGCAAUGGGGGAAACCCUGACGCAGCGAUGCCGCGUGAGUGAAGAAGGCCUUAGGGUUGUAAAACUCUUUCAGUGGUGAAGAUAAUGACGGUAACCACAGAAGAAGCUCCGGCUAACUCCGUGCCAGCAGCCGCGGUAAUACGGAGGGGGCUAACGUUGUUCGGAAUUACUGGGCGUAAAGCGCGCGUAGGCGGAUUAGACAGUUGGGGGUGAAAUCCCGGAGCUUAACUUCGGAACUGCCUUCAAUACUACUAAUCUAGAGUUCGGAAGAGGUGAGUGGAAUUCCUAGUGUAGAGGUGAAAUUCGUAGAUAUUAGGAGGAACAUCAGAGGCGAAGGCGGCUCACUGGUUCGAUACUGACGCUGAGGUGCGAAAGCGUGGGGAG